ensembl:lincRNA
AUGUCAGGCAAUAAAAAGAUCCUUACAUCUGCUGGAGUAGGAGUCCCUGGACACUUCCUCACUCUUUACUACUUCUCCUCAGUGGUAAUUGGGAAUGGAGGCAUUUAUUUUCUUUCCAGAAAAAGAGAAAAACAUUCCAUGAGGAUCACUGUGGCCAAAAAUAUCAUCCUGUGCUGGAGACAGGGAAGAAAAGGAUUGGCUGGCUUGUUCCACACAUCUUCCAUGUUCCAAACAUCAGUAAAGAGACUCCUCUUAAAUUGUGCAAAGAGACACAGCUCCCUGAGAAGAUGUUGGAUGGCCCUAGGGCAGCAAUCCUCAAAGUGUGAUGUAAACCAUGGUUGUAGGAAACACACAGAUGAGGAAACCUAGGCUUUGGAAGUUCUCCUGUUGUCAUGGCAAGGAAGCUAACUACAGCAAGACUCCUGUGGCCUUUUAUAGAAGGGCCCUGAAAGUUCUGGCUUCACUUUCAUUUCCUGCACCCCCCUACAUUUACAUAGGCAAACAGGGUUCUAUUGCACUUCCUCCAAGCCACUUCCGGGAGCUGUCAGCCUCAUCAGUGGUGUUCCUCUUGUCUGCCACAGUGGCUGAGCUGAGUCAGGCCCCCAUCCCACACUGAUUCAUGCCCUUGGCUCUUGUUUUAUCACACUGCCCAUGGAGGAAGGUAAUGAGUUCCCUGAAGUUCCAAGGAGGUGACUAUCUUGCCUGAAAUGGGCUAGAGAAGUGUGGACAGAGAUUGGGGUUGCAAAAACACCCCACUUCUUAGAGGAGCCUUACAGAGCUCCCAAUGUUUUCUGGAUUUGACCCUGUCAUAGUGUUGGUAGAACUGCAUCUGACGAAAGAAAUCAAUCAUUCCAGUGCCCUGUGAUCCAUUUGCAUUACCUGGUGAGUACAAACCAUGUGGAGAUGCUGGUUCCGCCACUGGCUGGUACUGCACUGUAAGGGCUGAGACAAGGUCUACAUUUUGACAGUGUCGCCUCACUGGAUCCAGUAGGCUGCCCUGAACUCCAGAGCGCUGGGAAAUGUCUGCUAUCUAGUGCAAGGCCCUCUUAUAGAGUCAGGGAGACUGGAAGGCCCCAUCUCUGAGUAUGACAUUUUUCAAUGAUUCCUAAUUUGUUGAGACACAGUCUCUGUGAGUUAAAAGGAAUACAUAUGGGUAGCCCUACAACUGAGGGGAAAGAUGCAGAAGAGAGAACUCAAGUGUUCCCCAGUGACAUUCAGGCUACACUGAGAAGCGCUUGACUUUGGGCUGUUAAUUAACCCCUGCUCUCCUUUUCUGGGGAGAAGCGUGUUCUAGUGACAGAUGCCUCUGUGUGCAGCCCUGGAGGCAGUGAGAACAAUGUCACCUCCCACUGCACGGCUUCUCUUCAUACAGCAUGACUGGAUGGCGUUCAGAAAACAGAAGUGGGCCUGGGCUGUACACGAAUAAGGAACUCAUUAGAGAGGCCGAGUCCUGUCCUAGGGGAGGAAAAUGAUGCACUUAUGUGGCAAGCACAGGGUUCUCUUCCAACAUCUGCUUUACUUUUUCCAAAUCCUAUGCAAAGAAGUAUUCUACAGAUGCUCUGACGGCAGCAGCUUGGCAGCAUUUAUUCCCAAUAUUCAGUGACCACUUCUGCAUAUGGCCCUACUGAUAUAAGCUUCCUAGAAUAACCAAAUUCAUGAGGAGAGAAAGCAGAAUGGUGGGUGCCAUGGGCUGGGAAAAGGAGAAAAGGGAGCUUUUGUUUAAUGGGGACAGAGUUUCCACCUGGGAAGAGGGAAAAGUUCUAGAGCUGCGCAGUGGUGAUGCUGUACCACAAUGUGAAUGUACUUACUGACACUGAGGAAUACUCAAAAUCCUUAGUUUUAUGUGGUGUACAUUUGCCACAAUAAAAAUUUUGAUUACAAAGAAUUUUGAUUCUUUACAUCAUUCAUGGAUUAAUUUUCCCCAUUUAGCAUCUUCUU